rnacentral:rRNA from 1 species
AGUCAAUAGAUACCCGGGUAGUCCCAGCUGUAAACGAUGCGCGUUAGGUGUAUCGGUGACCACGAGUCACCGAGGUGCCGAAAGGGAAACCGUGAAACGUGCCGCCUGGGAAGUACGGUCGCAAGGCUGAAACUUAAAGGAAUUGGCGGGGGAGCACCACAACAGGUGGAGCCUGCGGUUUAAAUCGGACUCAACGCCGGGAAGCUCACCGGAUAAGACAGCUGAAUGAUAGCCGGGUUGAAGACUCUGCUUGACUAGCUGAGAGGAGGUGCAUGGCCGUCGUCAGUUCGUACUGUGAAGCAUCCUGUUAAGUCAGGCAACGAGCGAGACCCACGCCAACAGUUGCCAGCAUGUCCUCCGGGAUGGUGGGGACACUGUUGGGACCGCCUCUGCUAAAGAGGAGGAAGGAAUGGGCAGCGGUAGGUCAGCAUGCCCCGAAUUAUCCGGGCUACACGCGGGCUACAAUGGUCAGGACAAUGGGUAUCAACACCGAAAGGUGAAGGCAAUCUCCUAAACCUGUCCUUAGUUCGGAUUGUGGG